AAAAAAAAAAAAAAAAAGAUGAACAAGAAAGUCAAGAAGUGUAUAAUCAAGGAUACAAUGUAGGUUGUUGACUUGAUAUUUCAUACCGUUUUGUGAACAACUUUAAAUCUUCGUACAGUCUAAAUUAACCAUGAAUCAUCAGUAGAGACAUUUAAAAAUCUAUGGUCUUUUUUUUUUUUUUUUAAUCUUGAGAUAAUUCUUGGCUUUGUCAAGGCUACUGGUGACAAAAGCAUUAGCAAG
rnacentral:lncRNA from 10 species